AGGGGUUAUUUUCUCUUGACAGCCUUGUUAUUCCUUUCGCAGGGAACCCAUCUGAGAGGGAACUGCUUUUAGAACCUGCAUCUUGUGAACACAAAUAGCACAGCGGGCAAGAUAAGGGGAUACCGGAACCUUAAGUAUCGCCGCAGACUGAGAGAUGCCGGCUUCUCGAGCUGUUUCCUUUGAACAAUUACCGCCCUGUCUUGGGAAUUUAACUGAACCCGCUAUUUGUCUCUGGGCAUCAAUUCUCGGGUCUUUGGAGAAGAUAACAGCACAUCAGUGUUAUAGUGUUAUAAGACAGAAAUCCUGAAGACAUGACCUGCUGUGGGGUUUGCCUGAGGACCGGAUUUGAGAAACACUGUUAAAUCCUACCCUCCUUAUUAUAUGUGUGAUGGGUAUUUCUGAUACUUUCUGGUUGCAUUCAGGCACUUACAGGGUUCUUCCAGCCUCAUAUGGGUUGAUUGGUAUCAGAGGUUGCAUUAAUACAUAAACAGGCGUCCCUGCUGUCUUACAAAAUACUGGCACUUAUUCAUACUCACUAUUAACAGUACUGUACAGCGUAGGGUGGGGCUACGAUGACGCGAUUCAGCACAAAUCACUUGCUAGACAGCGAUACAGUAUAGAUGCCCAGUGACGGCCUCUGAAUGUUAUUGCCAAGAGCAUACGAGCUGUGAAACAAAUGUGACCUUAGCUGGUCAUACACUGAACGGUAAUCAGUCAGAUUAUAUCCUCCAUUGUAUGCGUGACAAAAACAGCACAAAUCUGACAGGGGUUUAAGAACUGCAGCACUGUGGCUGGAGGGAUUCCAGGCCAGGUGUUGCUGUUAGCCAGGGUUGAGAAGCUGCUGAUUGCAAACACCUGUCAGAUUGUGCUAACAGGGUUUUAGACACAAGCUCCUGAUGGUGAACAAGCUGCCCAGGUGAUAGGCCAGGGCUGGCUACUGUUAGGAGUCCUGGACCUGAAGAACUUGUGUAUGCAUUUUGAAGACUCUGUGAAUUCUGCUUCGCUGUAAGUGACCUGUGAAUCCUGCAUUGUGGAACUGCCUGUGGUCUAUGUGAUUCCUGUCACAUUUGGAAGUGAAAAUGGCUGACAAUCGGUAUGGAUCAUUUGGUUUCUCAAACAAGUCCGAUCUUCCCGCCCAUCGUUCAGCUGAUUCUACAUUCUGAAUGGAGAGUGCCUUGCAUGCUUCCUGCACUGCAUGGUUGUGCUCCGAUUAUACAUCUCCCUCCUACCCCCCCAUUGGGUCAUCUACACUAAUUGCAUACCCUCCA